ensembl:lncRNA
GUAUGACGAGAUGUAGGGUGUUUUAAUGCCGUAUAGCAGGGGUGUCAAACUCAUUCCAUGAAGUGCCUACUGUCUAGAAGUUUGUUUUUUAAACUUUCAGUUAUGCCCUGGACAACCAGGUGUAGGAGUUCCUUACUAAUUAGUGACCUUAAUUCAUCUAUCAAGUACAAUGGAGGAGUGAAAACCUGCAGACACCUGGCCCUCUGUGGAAUGAGUUUGACUCCUGUACCGUAUAGGAUCAGUGAAAUUACUAAUUAUGGACACAUUAGGUCAAACGUUCAACAUCGAAGGCUGUCAUCUGUCAGUGGACAGGGAGCUGUACAGUCAAGGGGACGCCGUUCUCAUCCAACCACAGAGAGAUCCAAGAGGAUUUAUCCAACCUGCCCCAAGAACCCAAGGCCCACCUUCCACAAAUGGGUGUGGAUGAAUUUUGAGUCGCCAAUGAACACACGUAAGACAUCUGGACUGGGGAAACUCUUCAACGUGACAUUCAACUACUGUUGGAAUGCUGACAUUAAUGUGUGCAAGAGAUUAGUCUUCAAGAACAGUGAGAUUGACGAAGACCUACCCAUUGAGAAGAAGGUUACAAACUGCUGGAUUGUAAAGCAACUGGAACGGGAACCAUUAUAGGGUCAAAUAUGACCAACUCCUGAGCAAGUUCAUAACUAUCAACACAUAUGGAGCCUACUUUAAUAACAAGCAAAUUAGUAAUGAAGAAUAUACAAGCACAGUGGUCAGCUGUAAGUUCUACUUGUCAUUUGACAAUACGAGAGAACACCCUGACUAUAUGACUGAGAAACUGUUCAAUGCCAUGAAGUUGGGCUCUGUGCCAGUUGCCCUAGGACCGCCCAAGCAGGUUUAUGAGAAGUUCAUCCCAGGUGAUGCCUUUGUCCAUGUGGAUGAUUUCCCCAAACCGGAGAAGUUGGCUCAGUAUCUACAGAGCAUGAGUGAGGAUGAAUACUAAGUUGUUCAGGUGGAGGAAGUUCUUCAAAGUUAAUUGAUGUGUCUUUCCUAUUAACCAUGCCUGUAGACCGUGCCAAUUUGUCCAUCAGAAACAGCAAUACCAGGUCACAACCAAUCUGAUCCAAAUGGCACUGGGUUAGGUGCAUGAAUUGUUUCAGCAACUGAGCAGAUUUCUGCCUGAUCCACUUUAGGCUGCGGCCUGUGAAGCCUACGCUAAAUUGGAAGGAAUCAUUUCUAACAGACGUAUGUAAAUAGUGGUGGAAACCCUUGAUUCUGCAGUAGACUAGAGCUUAUUUUGCUUGGACAUACAGUUCAUUGCAAUAUGACAUCAUGUCUAUGUUAAACAUACCUAGAGCCAAGAAACUCAAUAUUAGGUCAAAGGUGAUUGCCUAAAAAUGUUAGGCUAUUCUGCCCUAAAAGUGCAGUAAAAGUGCAGUAACUGCGAAUUCGUCAAAUACACUGCUCAAAAAAAUAAAGGGAACACUUCAACAACACAAUGUAACUCCAAGUCAAUCACACUUCUGUGAAAUCAAACUGUCCACUUAGGAAGCAACACUGAUUGACAAUAAAUUUAACAUGCUGAUGUGCAAAUGGAAUAGACAACAGGUGGAAAUUAUAGGCAAUUAGCAAGACACCCCCAAUAAAGGAGUGGUUCUGCAGGUGGUGAC